AUACGGAGGGUGCAAGCGUUACUCGGAAUCACUGGGCGUAAAGCGCGCGCAGGCGGCUAUUUAAGUUGGAUGUGAAAGCCUACGGCUCAACCGUAGAACUGCAUCCAAAACUAUUUAGCUAGAGUGUGUGAGAGGAAGAUGGAAUUAGUUGUGUAGGGGUAAAAUCCGUAGAGAUAACUAGGAAUACCAAAAGCGAAGGCAAUCUUCUGGAACACUACUGACGCUGAGGCGCGAAAGCGUGGGGAGCAAACAGAAUUAGAAACCCUAGUAGUCC
rnacentral:rRNA from 1 species